CAGCCGCCGCGGUAAUACGAAGGGUGCAAGCGUUACUCGGAAUUACUGGGCGUAAAGCGUGCGUAGGUGGUGGUUUAAGUCCGUUGUGAAAGCCCUGGGCUCAACCUGGGAAUUGCAGUGGAUACUGGGUCACUAGAGUGUGGUAGAGGAUAGUGGAAUUUCCGGUGUAGCAGUGAAAUGCGUAGAGAUCGGAAGGAACAUCUGUGGCGAAGGCGAUUAUCUGGGCCAACACUGACACUGAGGCACGAAAGCGUGGGGAGCAAACAGGAUUAGAUACCCCUGUAGUCCCUGUCUCUUAUAC
rnacentral:rRNA from 1 species